GUUUCCCACUUGAGAUGUUGAUUUGAUAAGAUUACUAUAGAAAACCAGUUUUCUGAGAAUUCUGUUGUAGUUGAAUAGUAAUUGUGAACUUUACUAAUAGAAAUUUUGCCUUUUAUAUUCAGCUGGGUUUUGGAAAGAGCAUGCCUACAAACUGCGUGUGGCUAGAUGGGCUUUCUUCGAAUGUGUCAGAUCAGUAUUUAACACGACAUUUCUGCCGAUAUGGGCCUGUGGUAAAGGUAGGCGGGAGGUUUUGGUAUGUGGUUCAGACUUCUGACUCACUCGUCUUGGUAUUCUCUCCUUUCAGUCUCAGUUGGCUAGCAUUGCCUAUUUCUUUAAUAACGAGCACAUUAAAAUUAUGUUUGCUAAGAUUUGGUCAAUAAGGGCAUUUGCAUCUGUUGCCUUAAGUUAUGAGUAUUUUGAAGAAACUAUUUUGAACUAGCCAAGGUGAUUAAUUUUGAAACUAUUCUCAUAGUAUAAAUAGAAUGAAAUAGAAAUGUUGCUUAGGGAUUUUUAUAAUUUUAUCUUACAUUAAAAUUAGAUAGUCUGACUAUAUAGUUAUUCACAUUUACACUAAAUAUGUAAUUAGACUUUUUUAAAUGAGGGGAAGUUCACACAACAGAAUAUUCAUCUAACCAAUGAUUUUUAUGUAAUACAUCCAUAAGCAACAGGAAAAGGGUCUCCAGACCCAAUUCAGUGUGUGAAGGUAAAGCUUUGGUUCCUUAAAACUAUGUUUACUCUGUGGUAGGUAUAUUGUAUACCCUUGACAAUGCUUUUUUUUUUUUAAAUUUAUUUAUUUAUUUUUAAUUGAGACAGAGUCUCACUCUGUCACCCAGGCUGGAGUGCAGCGGCGGGAUCUCAGCUCACUGCAACCUCCGCCUCCCAGGUUCAAGCGAUUCUCUAGCCUCAGCCUCUUGAAUAGCUGGGAUUACAGGUGGAUCACCUGAGGUCAGGAGUUCGAGACCAGCCUGAUGAACAUGGUGAAACCACGUCUCUACUAAAAAUACAAGAAAAAUUAGCCGGGCUUGGUGGCGCGUGCCUGUUAAUCCCAGCUACUUGGGAGGCUGAGGCAGGAGAAUUGCUUGAACCCAGGAGGCGGAGGUUGCAGUGUGCUGAGAUCAUGCCGUUGCACUCCAGCCUGGGUGACAGAGUAAGAC
rnacentral:lncRNA from 10 species